rnacentral:sRNA from 1 species
UAGUUCCGGGCCGCUCCAUGACCGGGGCGCUU